ACAGACUUCAUUAGAUCCACUGGGGUCCCUC
rnacentral:piRNA from 1 species